UACGGAAGGCCAGCAGUGGGGAAUAUUGCACAAUGGGCGCAAGCCUGAUGCAGCCAUGCCGCGUGUAUGAAGAAGGGCCUUCGGGUUGUAAAGUACUUUCAGUCGUGAGGAAGGUGUUAAGGUUAAUAACCUUAGCAAUUGACGUUAGCGACAGAAGAAGCACCGGCUAACUCCGUGCCAGCAGCCGCGGUAAUACGGAGGGUGCGAGCGUUAAUCGGAAUUACUGGGCGUAAAGGGCACGCAGGCGGUUAAUUAAGUUGGAUGUGAAAUCCCCGGGCUUAACCUGGGAAUGGCAUUCAAGACUGGUUAGCUAGAGUCUUGUAGAGGGGGUAGAAUUCCAUGUGUAGCGGUGAAAUGCGUAGAGAUGUGGAGGAAUACCGGUGGCGAAGGCGGCCCCUGGGCAAAGGCUGACGCUCGAUGUGCGAAAGCGUGGGGAGCAAACAGGAUUAGAUACC
rnacentral:rRNA from 1 species